ACUGUAUGAAUUCAGCGAGGUGAUGAAGCUUCCUUCGGAAAUUGUGCUUUACACCUUGUUAAAGGCGUUUGGUUUCCUUUCAAAUUCUAAAUUCUUCACAUUCUGCAAAUGAGGACACUGUGUUCUGUCAGCAACUGCCAACCAGUUUGCAGUGGGAGCCUCUCCCUCCUGAUCCCAAAUGAGCAUCAGCACCAUCACUGCCUCCUUGCCAGCCCUGGUGUUCUUGGGAAAGAAGAAUGGAUGCAGGACAUCGGUCCCUGAUGAGGGGGCACAUCCCUGCACCCAACAGCACGGGAUGGACUGGACAGCAGGGAGGUGCCUCAGUUUCCCUCCAGGAACACCAGGAACCUGCUGGUCCAGGGACACCCACAGCCCAGCUGAAGGGGCCGAGGCAUUUACAGAGCUUUUUAACCAACAAAACAUGGAAACCACAACCAAAGCCCCCAGGUGGAGGGAAGG